rnacentral:rRNA from 1 species
UACGUAGGGGGCAAGCGUUGUCCGGAAUCAUUGGGCGUAAAGCGCGCGUAGGCGGCCCGGUAAGUCCGUUGUGAAAGUCAAAGGCUCAACCUUUGAAUGCCGAUGGAUACUGCCGGGCUAGAGUCCGGAAGAGGCGAGUGGAAUUCCUGGUGUAGCGGUGGAAUGCGCAGAUAUCAGGAGGAACACCGAUAGCGAAGGCAGCUCGCUGGGACGGUACUGACGCUGAGGCGCGAAAGCGUGGGGAGCAAACCGG